rnacentral:tRNA from 1 species
GGAUCCAUAGCUCAGUGGUAGAGCGUUCGUUUGACGUACGAAAGGUCGUAGGUUCAAUCCCUACUGGAUCCA